UUAAAUGAAUUGACGGGGCCGCACAAGCGGUGGAGUAUGUGGUUUAAUUCGAUGCAACGCGAAGAACCUUACCUGGUCUUGACAUCCCGGAGACCCUUAGGAAACUAGGGGGUGCUUCCAUCUGGAAGAAUCUGGAGACAGGUGCUGCAUGGCUGUCGUCAGCUCGUGUCGUGAGAUGUUGGGUUAAGUCCCGCAACGAGCGCAACCCUUGCCUUUAGUUGCCAGCAGUUCGGCUGGGCACUCUAAAGGGACUGCCGGUGUUAAACCGGAGGAAGGUGGGGAUGACGUCAAGUCCUCAUGGCCUUUAUGACCAGGGCUACACACGUACUACAAUGGCCGAUACAAAGGGCAGCGACACUGCGAAGUGAAGCCAAUCCCGUAAAAUCGGUCUCAGUCCGGAUUGGAGUCUGCAACUCGACUCCAUGAAGUUGGAAUCGCUAGUAAUCGUGGAUCAGCAUGCCACGGUGAAUACGUUCCCGGGCCUU
rnacentral:rRNA from 1 species